AUGGCCAGAUGUGCCGACCUUCCUUCAUACCGCCUCCUCAGACACACCCUGCAGUCCUGCGGCAUGAGGGGGAUGUUCAUGGAGCGGAAUAAAAUGUGGCCAGACCUUACAGUGAACUCUGGACAUGCUCUUCUGAAGAAACAGAGGAAGAAUCAAACAAAAAUUGGCAGACCCCCUACUGUACCGUCGUCGACCCCCUGUUGAAGACCUCUUAACUAAAGGAAUCAUGCAAAUCAGGUUGGAGUGCACCAGACUUCCAAUUUGGCAUUGUUUUACUGUAUGUACACUGCUUUGUCUCAGAUUGGCUCUUUGAAAUGGCUGUUGCUUUUUGUAAUACUUUUUGAUUUAAUAUCUGUACUUUUUGCGCUAUUUAUAUCAAAACGUUGAUAUAAUCAUACCAUAAAGUAUUUAUCUGCUAAAAAUAAAUAUAAAUAA